GGAAUUUUCCGCAAUGGGCGAAAGCCUGACGGAGCAAUACCGCGUGAGGGAAGACUGCCUAUGGGUUGUAAACCUCUUUUUUCAGGGAGGAACAAAAUGACGUGUACCUGAAGAAUAAGCAUCGGCUAACUCCGUGCCAGCAGCCGCGGUAAGACGGAGGAUGCAAGUGUUAUCCGGAACCACUGGGCGUAAAGCGUCUGUAGGUGGUUUAAUAAGUCAACUGUUAAAUCUUGAGGCUCAACUUCAAAAUCGCAGUCGAAACUAUUAGACUAGAGUAUAGUAGAGGUAAAGGGAAUUUCCAGUGGAGCGGUGAAAUGCGUAGAUAUUGGAAAGAACACCGAUGGCGAAAGCACUUUACUGGGCUAUUACUAACACUCAGAGACGAAAGCUAGGGUAGCAAAUGGGAUUAGAUACCCCAGUAGUC
rnacentral:rRNA from 1 species